AUUACUAUAUUUCCAGUCCUGAAUUGUGUUAGAAUUCUGUAAUUCCAAUGGAAUGAGAAGCAUAACUGUUGAUUUUUAUGUUAGUUCAUCGGCAACUGUUUCUUAUCAUCAGUCUAUAACAAUGUGAAAAGGAUAUAGAGGUUUGGUGGUCAGUAGAUAGAUUUGUCCUUCAACUAGCUUAAGUUAAUUUUGGCUUGAUUGAAGUCCAUUGUACUGAGAGGAAGAGAGUUUGCUUAAUUGUGUAUAUAUUAGUUUCUGGUCCUGGACUGAAGAUUUCCUUCUAGUCAAUUUUUGGAAUUAAGUUGAUUUGAACUAGUUUAUGGAUUUUGAUUCCCUUGUCCGCCAUUUCAGUUCUUGAAAUUUGUAUCCUGCUGCAAAGAUAACAUUGAAAUGUUAAGAUUUAGGGUGUGCUUUUGUUUUAGCUAAUAUUGUUGGUUAUCUAUUCUUGCUUUUUGAAAUUUGUAUCGAGAAUGAGGAUUUUAGGACAGUGUAUUGGUUAGAGUGAUCAGUGGGGGUGAUGCUACUUGGAGUGAGUGAAAGAAUCUUAAGGUAUUUGAAGAGAAGGGCAUGACAAGCACUAGCUUUAAGCUUAUCUAGUACUCUGCGCUAGCUUUAAGCUUAAUUAAUACUCUGUCGGGUUUCAAUCAUUGUCUGUCGGAAAAUAUAUUCCUUCAGAUCCCAUAUUAGUGCAUCAAUUAGCAACCUUCUCACCUGAGAAAAUUUUGUACAAGCCUAUAUGUGGGGUAUGCUCGAGAAUAGCGUAAAGAAACAGGCUGAUGCAACUUGGACUGAGUAAGUUGAAGAAUUGCCAUGACAAGCUUAAGUUAGCUUACAAUUAGCGAAGAAGCUUUAAGCUGUAUGUGAAACUUGUCCUGUCCCAACUUUACCUGUAUUGGUAUUUAAAUCAGUUACAGAUUUUUAACUGUUGCCAUAGCUUUUUUGACGAGAGGAAAUUGAUGGUUUUUAUACUGUGACAUUUUGCUGGUACACUGGAAAUAUUUCCUUGUCCUGUCCUUUCUUAUUUCUAGCGUUGAUGGUGAGAUGAUUAGUCUUCUGUUGCAUUGUGCUGAUGUAGUUCUUCUUAGAAUUGAAAAAUGGUUAGAAAAUUAAUGGUAGUUGACUUUACUUUAUUGUGACAACUUCUUUGGAGACCAGAAGUAUGCAGUUCGCAAAAGAGCAUGAAAAAAUAUGAGAGAUGCCAAGUGUGCAUGUCUUUUGUGUUAUGCUGCCUUUUCCUUUAUGGGCAUUUUGGGGGAUAUCUGGGCUGGGUAUGUGUAUUUAUGUUGUAAGUAUGCUGCAACUGUACUUAGAAAAUUUGCUUAAAGAGUGGCAAAAUUUUCACUGCAUGCAUCACCUGUUGAACCGAGUGAUUUGUGAAAAUAUAAAGCUUCUUCAAAACUUGGAAGGCUUCUUUUCGGUGGAACAUCUGAAGGUGCUUCUAGUUUCCUUUUUUAUCUGUAAGUUGGCUAACAGGCCCUCUUAAAUAUCAGUGGACAGAUAUCUUAUUUGUCAGAUUUAUGGAGUUUAUUGACUUUCAUAUAUUUAAUUUGAAGUUUAAGGUUAUCUAAAUUGAAUUUAGUUCUUAAAUACGGCAUACAAUGUAGUGAUAAAUAUUUAAACAAGCUUCAGUUGUUUACAUGUGCUGUAUGAUGCAUUCACUGAAACAUGCUUUAGUUGUUUAUAUAUGCUAUAUGAAUCAUUACAGUUGCAAGUUCAUCUCUCUGUCUGUCUCAGACACAUUUACAUAUCCAGAGCAUAUGGAUGAACUGAUAAUCUGGUGCCAGUAUAUGCCACAGAGAACAGUAGGUUUUCUACUGAUUUGAUAGUUUCGGGAGAGUCAAAUCCUUAUUUUAAUGCACAGGAGAGAAUAAGUUCAAUUAUUCUUUGUUACUUUUAUAGUUUUCGAUACUAAUGCUUUUGUAGUUGGAGGUGUUUGGUCGCUGUUCUGAAAUCUUGAAAUUCAGCUAGGUUGUUGACAAUCUGUUUUGUCCUUUGGCAGGAUAUAUUCAAAAAAUUUCAAAUUUGGAAGCUGAUACUGUCCAUUUUUGGUUUUGCGUCUACACCAGAACUCAUCUUUGGAACAUAUCUGCUUUAUUACUUUCGUAUAUUUGAGAGGCAAAUCGGCUCUAAUAAGUACUCUGUAAGUGGUGUUCAGAAGAAAUAUUUAUUAUUUAAGUGGCUGUCUUACACAACAAUUUAAUGUUUAUUGGACGAUGAAACAAUUUCCAUGUUUUCACAAUCUUAUGUUUUCUGAUUUCCUGCUGGUAUUUGACUUUAAUUGGAUGAAAAUAAUGUUCCCGCAUUUGUCCAAUAAAUAUAAGAUAUGAAAAAAGUUUACAUAAUUUCUUUUCUGCAAAUUCGAUCUACUUGCGGCAACAUUAUCUAUUUGGAACUAUUUUCUGUAUUGUGCAACUUGAAUUUUCCUUUGGACAACCAUAGAAUCAACUUCUUUUGCUUUAUAUCAUGGAAAAAAAACAUUUUUGUUGGCAAUGUCAUCAAAACAAGAAGGUUGUACCAUGUAUAUUAACUAGCCAUAUGAAGAUCUUACUGCAUUUGUCCAAUUUGGAUAUUUAAGUAUUUACUGAUUAUAGAGUUCCAAUAUUUGUCAUGUCCGUAUUCUAAAGAUGGUCUGCGUUAGAGUGCCACUGUACUAUCCUUUAAAGAACUGAAACUCUCUUUGUCAACAGCUACGAUGUUGAUUUUAGCAUUCUUUUAUAUGCAAUUGAACACUGCUAAAGUACAUCCACUACUUAUUGGGCACUGAAGAGUUUGUAUUUAUUAAUGACUAAAUUGUGGAUCAUCUCAAAUAUAUCAUUGUUUUGCAAACUAAUGUUCUUUUAUUUUUUUGCUUGCUACACCUGUUAAGGUGAUGAUUGUUAUGUGAUAUUUUCUGUACCACUUUUUGUUGGUAUAAUACUCAUAUUGAUUCAUGAUUGAUCAUUCAAACGGCCACUUUAUGAAUAGUACUGCGUCAAUCAUGGUAACGGAAAGGGAAGAACAAUAUGCUCAUGUAGUUUGAUAUGCCUUACUUUGCAGGUGUUUAUCUUGUUCUCUGCAAUCGUCUCUUUAGUGCUUGAGGUCCUUGCAAUGAAAAUUGUUAAAGGUAUGGUAAAUUGAUGUUUAUCUAUAUGCAACCUUCUGAAUUGGUAUACAUAGCUUCACACCAGCAAAAGUAGAAAAGUAUUUCAAACAAGCAAGUUUCUUUUUGCUGUUGCCUUCUUCUUGAUGUAGUGUAAUAUGCCUUCUCUUUUGCUAGUGUUUUACUGCCUUCCUGAAAGCAUUUCCUCUGCACAUAGAGAGAUUUUUUCAGUCAUUGAGAGGGCAUCUUGUGAUUGAUGUGAAUUUGAGUAAUAAUGCUACAGAUUCUCAUUGCUGUUACUGUCAAUAUGUUAUCUACAUGAAUACAAUUUUAAAUGACAUUUUCACCUCUUUUUACCUGGUAGCUGUUUGUUUACUGUGUACAUAUCUCAUUAGCUGUUUUUCACAAGUUGAUAGUUUUCUGUAUUCUUGUCUAGCUCUUGAAUCCAACUCAAGUUAUAAAUGGAUUUUUUUAGAGAUUGAUCUUUCAUUCAACUUGAAUCCUUUCAUGAUGAUAUUACUUCAGAGCUAAGAUGGAACAUAGUCUAAAGGGAAUUCAAACCAUGGAAAAAUCAUACUACUUCUGUUGGCUCACAAUGAUGCCAAAGAAGAACAGCCAGAACUGGUGAAAGACAUGAGAAACAGGGCAAAAGUCGUUAUGGAAUAGCCGUAAGUGGCUUUUGGAUCUCUGGAGGAAGAAAUUCUUCUUAGUUUGAGAUUUCCUUUUAAGAUCUGAUGGAAUAGGAAAGGGCUGAGAGGUUGGAAGAUUGGGCUAAGUGAUAAGAUUUGGAAGACUGUUAGAAGAAGAGGGUAUCUGGUUUACUAUGGAGAGCAAUAAGGAGAUGUGUGGUACUUAGCAAACCAACUUUUUAUGCUGUGAGUAUUGUCCACAGUAACAGAAAACCAGGUUCUAACUGGUCAGUUCUCUGUUACCAGGUCUGGAUGCUUUGACCAGUUUGACCGUUUGUUUGGCUUCUAAAUGAAACUGAACCAGACUGAUAGCCACUUGUUCCUGGAUAACGGAGGCAGCCUGGACGGUUGUAACUUGUCUUCAGUUUGAGAGCAUUCCUUCAGUUAAAUGGUAUUUGUAGUUGUUCAGAUUCAGGAACGAAGUCUGCACUGAGAAACCCUCUGUAAGGAGCUUGCAGCAUAUAUAAAUUUGACACUACAUGUUAGGGUACCAGUGUCGCUAUUAUGUGGACUUGGCACUUUAUGCAGUUGCACUUGUUGUGAUUUGAGAGAUGCAUAGACGACAGUCUGCAAUUUUUACCUGAUCUGGUCAAACAAGAUCAGGCAUUGACUUGUGACUUUUAGGGAAACUUCAACUUAAAUUGAGAGUCAUCUUUCUGGGAAUUCUUGUCCAUGAUUUAGUUAAAAAUUAGAGAAAGGUAAAGGAUGGAAAAGAGGUGAAGAUAUUCUACUGGAACUCAUAUGCACUGAUUGAUCAGUGACUUGUGAAUGACUAACAAUCAGGAGAGUGGGGAGUUCCAACAAGGCAAACAGUCUGAGAUGAAUAUACAUUGGGCUUGUGGGUCACAUGAGAUUAGGUAAGGAUGGCAUUGUGAGUUUAAUUUUCCAUAACAAAUUUGUUACUGGUUCUGAAAUAUAGACAUUUUAUUUAGGCUGCUGAAUUUGUUUCUGAACUAAUUAAGACAACCUUCAUUGGGAAAACAAAUGAAGUCCGUGAACAUGUCCAAGUACAUGUGUGCUGCUUAUACUAAGCACAUGGUUUUGCUUUAAGUUGGAUGGAUUUGGGUAUGAUUACUGGGUGUGGUUUUCUUUAAGCUAGACAGACUUGGGUAUGAUUAUUGGGCGUGUCAACACCAGUCGAUUUGUGUACUUCCUGAAGAUAAGGACAUGGGGGCACUGCCAAAGACUCAGAUAUCAAUGUUUCAAUAAGCUAUGUAAUAAAAGUUCGUUAGUAUUUUGUAAAUCAUUUACUUAGAUAUCCUUGUACAAUUAAUGAUGUUUUCCUAGCAAAAUACCUGGUUGAAUGCUUUUCAAAUGAAGACUGCAUCAUUAGGUUUUCUACACAUUCAGGAGCCAAACUACUUCAUUUUAUUGUGACUGUCCGGAAGGAAACCUAAAUAGUGACUCAUAUGGGUUCAGAAUUUAUGAGAGUUAUUUUCUGUGCUUUAUAAAUCAGUGGUCAUUUUUUAAUGGAUCAUAGAUGGUAACAUUCCUUGUCCAAUCUCAUGUGACCCAUACGGCUUAUAUCUUAGACAAUAGGAGUCUCCGAUAUUUUGUCAGCUUGGAGCGUUCCACAUUUCUCAGCAUUAUCAACUUACAACAACUGGCACCAUUCUUCUCUUCUUGAUCCCUUGACUUUCUUGGUUUUUUCGGCUAUAUCAAGAAAAUUUUGUUAGAAGAAGACAGCUCUCGUCUAAGUUAGAGCUUCUGUCAGAGUCAAAAGUCAUCAGAGCCAAUCAUCUUAAACUGCAUCCAGGUAUCAAAUCCAUACCAGUUCAGUGUGGUGUUGUAUCGACUCUGGUACCUUGUGUUAUGGUGCUGAGUCCGGGUAACAGAAGCAGUUCUUGUCUAGCCCAUGAGCUGCUCAUCUGGCACAUGACUGCCGGCAUAUGAUAGGACUGCCUUGAAAAUAGUCUAGCAGAAAAAUGCCUGCCUACCUAGUAAGUUGAGGAACAUGUAUUAUGGUACAAAUAUCACUGAGAGACCUAAGAUGUUGUUUUGUAGAAAGAUAUGCAUUGGCUUUUUGUGAUAUCAUAACUAAUUGAUGUAAAAAUACUGAAAUGGCUGAAUGUUGAAAUCUUAGCUGGCAAUCUUUUUACCUAAUUUUGUGCAUCUAGAAUAAGCAAAUUUGCUUUCUAGUCAUCAAGAGAACUGUAGAACCAUCCUAAAGUCAAUAAAUUCUCUUCUUGAGUGACAUGAUGUGUUGCAUUUUGUAUAACUCAUCGAUAAUGAACCUGACAAUGCAAAAGUACAGAAAUACUUGGCUCAAUAAUUAUAUCAUCUAAAAAUGGCUUGAGACAGCUAUAGAAAGAUUCUGCGAUUGUUUCCUUUGAUUGAAAGUGGAUGGAGCAUAAUGCUGCCAUUUCAUAUAUUCUAAUCAGAGGAUUUUGUUACUCUGAGGGUGCUGAUUUAAGAUAAUCUGUGAUGAUGUGUGUUACCUUGUCUGUGUUAUAUGGUCUUGCUGGGUCAGAAGGCCUCAAUAUUUAUAGCAAAGAAUACUAAGUUGAAUGGUUGAGUUGAAAAAGAGUCUUGGCUUGGGGUUUGAUCAACAUGUGGUAGAUGCUUCUUGUAAAUAUUCUUGCCACUCUAUUUGGGUUUAUUCUUUUAUCUUUGAGACUGGAAAGGACUCAAUUAUCUUAGCUUUACUUGUGCAGAUUCUUCCUUGAAGACUCUCACAUCGGGUCCCUAUGGUCUUAUAUUUGCUUCCUUUGUUCCUUUCUAUCUUGACAUACCAGUCUCGACUCGUUACCGUGUAUUUAGCCUUCACUUCUCCGACAAGACAUUUAUAUAUGUAGCUGGUCUUCAGGUACUCAUGUGGAUGUGCUAUUGCUCUUUCCGAAACAUUUACUGUCCUUUCAUACUCACUCAUUUUGGGUUUACAAUCUUUAUCCUAACUGAUGUGUAUUUUCCAUCUCUCAGCUUCUUUUCUCAUCAUGGAAAAGAUCUCUGUUGCCGGGGAUCUGUGGCAUUCUUGCUGGUUCCUUGUAUCGUUUGAAUAUUCUCCGCAUACGCAGUAUGAAGGUUGCAUUGCAUUCUCCAUAAAAUCUUUUUCUGUUCUGUUGGAUCUAGUGUGUGCUAUUAUCAUCUAUAAGGAUGGCUUGUUUUCUUGUUUCUGAAUCUGCUAGUUUUACCUGAGUGGGUGAAAUGCUUUGGUUUAUCAUCUAUUGUUAAAUUGCUUAGUCUGAUUGCGAUUAGCCUAUUCAUAACACAUGGUGUCUUCUUUUACUUAUUGCUCAAGGGGAUGAUGAUUGCAUCUAGAAGGGGCAACUAGAAAGAAGUGAGAAAAAUAUAGGAUAUGUGUCUAAAGUUGUAUAUUUACUGGCUUGACUUCUGAGUCCACGUUCUUAUGUCGGUAAAACGCAUAUUUCUUUUAUAGAGAAUAAAAUCCUAUCCUUCUUAGCCUAAGGGGAUGAUGAUUGUAUCUAGAAGGGGCAGCUAGAAAGAAAUAUGAAAAAUAAUAGGAUAUGUUUCUAAAGUUGAAUAUUACUUGCUUGACUUCUGAGUCCGUGUUCUUAUGUCGGUAAUACACGUAUUUCUUUUAUAGAGAAUAAAAUCCUAUCCUUCUUAGCUCCGGGGACAUUGCCCAUGGUUUGUUUAUUUGUUCGAUUGCAUAGAAGUAAUUUAAAUGAUUUGAUAAUUUUAUGCUACUACGCAUACUUUGGUGGUUCUUUAUUAGUCCCAGCUAUUGAUACUAAGAAAAGAAUUUCAAAAUCAAUAUGCUUGUUGGAUCCAUAACUAGGGCAUUUCAGAAGAGUAGAAAAAUUCUGCAGGAAAUGUUAGUUUUAGUAUUCUUGAAUUCUCAAAUCAGAAAACAUCAAUACAUGUUUCCAACUAAGCUUAUUGGGUGCUUGUCUAUUCCUAUUAUUAUUGUAUCAUGAGGUUGAUCUUGCGGCAGGAAUUCCUUGUUUUCUUUGUUGGGUAAUACAUAAUAAGCUUUUUAUUGCUAGAGCUCUAUCCCCCACACACAGACUUAUGUUGUAAGCUACACAUCUGAGGUGGUUGUUGCUUGAGCUCUAUCCACAUAUUUGCUUUUAUUUAAAGCUUUAUGCACGAUGACCCAUCCAUUUGCUUUUAAAGCUCUAUCCACAUAUUUAUUUAAAGCUCUAUGCACAUAUUUGCUUUUAUUUAGAGCUCUUUGCGCGAUGACCCAUCUGUGUUUCUUUUACCCCUCAGUUUCCAGAAUUUAUCGCUUCUUUCUUCUCUCGACUUUCAUGGCCAUCUUCGGGGAAUAUACCACCUGCUGCACCAGCUAGGAAUACUGUGGGAAAUAUGCCGUCCUAUGCAGGUCGCCAAGUGGAGGCAAGUAAUUUAAAUUAUUUUCAUCACUGAUGCCUGCUGCACUGUUUUUGGUUUUCAUGAUUAAUACUGUUUUUGUUUCCUAUUUUGUGCAUCUAAUUGCUUUUUCCUGAUUACAAACUCCUCAAGUUUCUUAUGUUUCUCUUAUUAGUUUUCUUCCUUUCUGAUCUACUGAAAUGGGCACCUUCUUCUGCCACUCUCUUUGUUAUAUCAAUCCUUUCUCAAUCCCCGUUUUCAUUUUGUGACUAGGAUCUUCCUAGUGGUGAUAUAUCUAUUUGGUUAUUAAUUGUUUAUUAGAUAGUUUUUUAUUUCUAUUUUUUAUGUUUAAUUUUUAAGUGAAUGCAAGUGGUACUUUGAGAAACUAUCUUCUUGGUUGUGUACCAGGCAAAUAAUCUUACUAAAAUAAGCAUACUUCAGCUAAAGACCCUUGUGGGUAUAUGAUGUGUCAUCUUCUUUCAUGACUCCAAAAUUUCAAAUUGUUGCUUUAGCUCUGGAGAUGAUUGGUGGUGCUUUUGUUUUGUGUUCCAAAAAUGAGUUUUUUUAAAUACAUUCUAUGCCAUCAUAAAUGAAUUAUUUUGUAAAUUGCUCAUUUGCAAUCUGCAACUUGACAGAGAUUCUUUCUGUGGAGUUAUAAGUGAAUUUGUUUUAGACAUCUAAUGUAUGAUUUUAAAGAACUAAAGUGACUGUAUGUUCACAAUUGUACCUUCCCAGAAAAGAGUUGCAUUACAUGUUGUGUUGUUCCUAAAAGAUUAGUUCGAUUGCUUUGAACAUGAUACCAC
rnacentral:lncRNA from 1 species